GUUUGCAGGCCCGGCACAGUCUCACUUCCCCACAGCACAGAGAGGAAGCCAGGGCUUUGCAUGCCCUGUUCACUUGGCCAAACAUUGCCCUAGAUGUGCAAUUCAACCCAUAUAAAGCAAGUGUAAUUCAAGAGCCCUGACUCCUUCACUAUUUCAUGAUUGCUUAUUACUCGUACACGGCAUUGUCAGGUUCCAGCAACUGUGUGUGCAGCGGGCAGAAAUGCAGUAUUUAUCUCUGAGAGGCAAACAUUCUUAAGCUCGUCAGCAUGAGUAUCCACACUGAACUGGCUAUCAGGGAAAUAGACCCCUGCACGGGAAAGUCAAGAGCUUCAGAAUCUUCUGCAUUUAUCCAAGACAAGAGAAAAGAAAUUUGAGAAAGUGUACCUGUUUUUCGCCAUCUUCUACUCACUUGCUCUUGGAAUUAACAAAACACAGAACCAUACCUAAGUGCAAAGUGGUCGAGAAAUGUAUUUCCUGAUGGGGCAACCACCUUCCAGUGAUAACUUCACACUCUGAAAGGGGGUGAUGGAUGGAGCAUUUCAACCACAAUGGCAAAGAAUGAAUUACCGGCAGUGUCAGAGUUUCCUGUUGCUGUGGGAAGACAGCUGCCAUGUUGAGAGGUGCCCUGUGGAGAGGCUCAUGUGGCAAGGAACUGAGGGUGGCUUCUAUCCAACAACCAGUGAGGAACUGAGGCCCUCAAGUCCAUAGUCCAUGAGGAACUAAAUACUACUAACAACCACAUGAGUGAGCCUAGAAUCUGAUUUUCCCCAAUGGAGACUUAAGGUACCUGCAACCCGGCUGUUAAGGACUAAACUGCAUCCUGCCCAAAUUUAUAUGUUGGAGUCUUAACUCCCAGCACUUCAGAACAUGACUUUAUUUGGAGACCUAGUCAUUAAAGAGGUAAUGAAGUUAAAAUGAGGUUAUUAGGAUGAGUCCUAAUCCAAUAGGACUGGUGUUCUUAUACGAAGAGGAAAUUUGAACACAGACACAUAUAGUGUCUGACCAUAGGAAAGACCAUAGGAAGAAGACACAGAGAGGAAAUGGUCAUCUACAAUCUUAGGAAAGAGGCCUCAGAACAAGCCAACCCUGCAGAUACCUUGAUCUAGACCUCCAGAAUUGUAUGAAAAGAUACUUUUGUUAUUUAAGCCACCCAGUCUGUGGUGCUUUGUUAUGGCAAUCCCAGAAAACUAAUUAACUAAUUGACUGCAGCCUUGCAAGGGACCCUGAACCAGAGGACUCAGUAAAGCUGUGUGCAGAUUCCUGACUCACAGAACUAGGAGAUAAUAAAUGUGUGUUGUUCUAAGAUGCCAAAUCUUGGGAAAAUAUGUUAGGUAGCUAUGUUGUUUUGCACAUGUGCCAUGUAAUCAUGUUUUGGUCAACAACAGACCACAUAUAUGAUGGUGGUCACGUAAGAUUGUAAUACUGUGUUUCUAUCAUGCAUUCUCUAUGUUUAGAUACACAAAUACUCAUCACUGUGUUACAAUUGCCUCCUGUCUUCAGUACUGUAACAUGUUGUACAGGCUUGUAACCCAGAGGCAAUAGACUACACCAUACAGCCUGGGUGUGUAGUAGGCUAUACCAUCUAUGUUUGCGAAGUACAUUGUGUGAUGUUCACAUCAUUUUGAAGUUGCCUAGUGAUGCAUUUCUCAGAAUGUAUGCCCAACAUGAAGUGACACAUGGCUUUAUGUCUAUCAUGCAUUUAAGAUACUGUGAUAUAGUUAACUUACGUUUUAAUAUACCUCUUAAUUCUAUUUUGAUCCCACACCAACCAAGGUGCAAAACUAAUGUUUUCACCCAUUUCCAUAAAAAACACAAUUACAGUGGGA